AUGGUCCCACAGAUUACAUGUCCGAAAACUGUUGAAAGGAUCACUGAGACAGUAAUGGCCUGGCUGAAAGUAAAAGGAAAGAGUCCGUGUGAGGGUCGGGUGUAUGUCUAUUCCGCUACUCUCGGUGAAAAGCCUUUGUGCUGCUCAAGUCACAAAAGAACCAGCUUGUUGCGUGGACUGUGUAAGGACAUGCGGUGUGGAGACUUGAACUCUGUUACUAACUUUAAUGAAUACAAUUCUGGGAUUGAGCUCACAAGCAAUAUGACGUUGAACAUCACUCAGUGCUCAGGCCUGAGUAUAAGCUGCACAGAUUCGCUUGGAAAUGAGUUGGUCGCUUAUAAAGCAGUAACUGGCAUAUUGAUCUUCAUCCUGGUUUUCAUUUUGAUUCAGUUCAGUCGCCCCACGAUCAAAGUCAUCCGAAAAAGAUGUGAGUUGGUGAAGUCGCUCUUUAAUCUCUUUAAUGUUUCUACAUGCAUGGAAUAAUGUAACAUUUCUGUGUUCGCUUAUAAUUUUCUGUACAAAGACUGUAUUUAAAAUAGGCAUUAAAGAUAUAUAAAGUAAAAUCGAGAAGAAAUGUUUCAGAUGAUACACUUUUAUAACUCUCCAAACAAGCAAAUCGAAGCAAAUUACAGAGACUGAUCAUGUGAACUCUGUGCAGAGCUUCUUAGUCUUGUGUAAAGUCUUUGCGAGUUGUACAUUCAGCACGUAGUUAUAGAGAUGUGGCAGGUGACACACUGAAUUAAAAGUGACAUUUUAAUCCCAAAAGACUGAAAUAAUUUUCCUGUAAGAUUUAUCUAACAUCAUUUUAGUGGUCCAAUAAAAACAAUACGAUUUGAUUUGUUCUAGCGCUCAUGCAUGAGGAUUUGACAGCUCUGCAUGGUUCCUCAGAACAUAGUCACACUCAUUUUCAACUCAGAAAUUUUUUACUCAAA
rnacentral:lncRNA from 1 species